rnacentral:rRNA from 1 species
UACGGAGGGUGCGAGCGUUGUCCGGAAUCACUGGGCGUAAAGGGCGCGUAGGCGGCCUGGCAAGUCGGUGGUGAAAGCUCGGGGCUUAACUCCGGAAAUGCCAUUGAAACUGUGAAACUUGAGGAUGAGAGAGGUGAGUGGAAUUCCCAGUGUAGAGGUGAAAUUCGUAGAUAUUGGGAAGAACACCGGUGGCGAAGGCGGCUCACUGGCUCAUUACUGACGCUCAGGCGCGACAGCGUGGGGAUCAAACAGG